rnacentral:rRNA from 1 species
ACACCGGCAGCUCAAGUGGUAGCCGCUUUUAUUGGGCCUAAAGCGUCCGUGGCCGGUCUGAUAAGUCUCUGGUGAAAUCCCACAGCUUAACUGUGGGAAUUGCUGGAGAUACUAUCAUGACUCGAGGUCGGGAGAGGCUGGAGGUACUCCCAGGGUCGGGGGGAAAUCCUGUAAUCCUGGGAGGACCACCUGUGGCGAAGGCGUCCAGCUGGAACGAGCCUGACGGUGAGGGACGAAAGCCAGGGGCGCGAACCGGAUUAGAUACCCGGGUAGUCCUGGCCGUAAACGAUGUGGACUUGGUGUUGGGAUGGCUUCGAGCUGCCCCAGUGCCGAAGGGAAGCUGUUAAGUCCACCGCCUGGGAAGUACGGCCGCAAGGCUGAAACUUAAAGGAAUUGGCGGGG